AUGACGCUGCGUCGAAGGCGUGUGGGUGGCGCCCGGCCGGAGGGGCCGAGAGGCGGGGGCGGCGCGGGGCGGGAGGAGGCAGAGGGCAGGGCAACACCCCUCCGCCCCCUCCCCCGCGCCUCUAUUCUCCCCCUCCCGACACCCCCUACCUUCCUCUCCUCCCUCCCCGCCCCCACAACUGGGCUGGUCCUCCUCCAUCCACUCCUCCCCCCAUUCACUCCUCCCCUCAAGCCCUCUCACCUCCCCUUCCCUCCCCCAUCCACUCCUCCCCACAUCCCCUCACCUCCCUGUCCCUCCCCGUGCCCCAAUCCCCGCAAACCUGGGCUGCUCCUGCCCCUUCCACGCCUUCCUGCUCCCUCCCUCCCUGUCCCCUUCCCCUCCUCCCCACCCCCAUCUCCCCUUUACCCUCUUUCUUCCCAAACCCCUCUUCCUUCCUCUCCUUCCCCACAGGCCACUUCUCCUUUCCCCCUCCUGGCCCCCUGUCUCCUCCUCCCAUCCCCCACCCCGGCUUUAGUCUCCCAUCCCCCCUACACCCCCUUGCCUCUGCCUCCUCACAGCCCCCUACUUAUCCUAUUGCCUCCCUCCUGGGGCCCCUUCAGAUCCCUAGGGCCUCUUUGUCUCUCUCUGUUUUCUCCCAUUCCAGCCCCUGAUGACCAGGCCCCGCACCUCUGCUGGGGUCUGCCGCACACAGUAAGCUGCCUGGGAGUCCUCAUUGCCUUCCUGGGCAACCCAGCUAAAGGCCGCCCAGCAGCUGCAGCCCUGGAGGUCAGCGCAGCCCUGGCUGACGUCAGGGGCCCCUCCUCACCGCCCACCUCUGCACCUUCCCCAUCCCUUUGCCUGGUGUCCGGGAAAGGCCCCGUAGGAUGGCAUUCCUUUCCCAGGGUCUCCCUCAGGAAAGAUGAGAGGAAGCAAAAGCUCAGUCUGCACACAGGGCUGGUCCUCCCGACGGCCACAUCCGCAGGGAUGACCCUCAGAGGUGCUCCCAACUGGCUGGGAGGUUCCUCCACCUGGGCGCUCUGCUACCCAGCCGGGUCAAGGACAAACAGCCAUGUACAAAAUGGCAAGAGGCGGACCUUCCAGAGCAUGUAUAUGUGCAUAUUCACUCCUUCAAACCUCACAACUCCAUCAGCCAGGCACUUUUAUUAUCCCCAUAUUACAGAUGACAAAUCUGAGACCAAAGAUGAAUCAGCUUGGCAGUGUUCACAGAGCCAGCCUGUGGAAAAGCCAGAAUCCAGAAUCCAGUCCCAGGCCCUGCCUGCAGCAUCCCGGCUCUUACUGACACCUAAACGGCCACUGCCUCUUGGCUUAGUGCUCUUCCUUCUAAAAAACCAGUUCCAGUGAGCCCUGGAGACCAGGCUACAUUCUUCAGGUAUGAUGGAUUUUCUGGUUGGAGAAAGUUGAUAAUUUUAAUUGCUGGAACCAAACUGAUUUAGUUGCUGAGCCUGGGCUGAGUUUGGCUUGGCCGAGUCUUCCAUAAGGAACAAAAGGGUACAGGAGGUGUGCAUGGCUGGUAGUGACUAGAAACCCAAGCCAGAUAGCCCCUGCACUGAGCGGAUCCAGGAUACAUUCUCAGACACCUCUCCUGUUCUCCCCCAACCCUGACCCCUUACUAGCCCUUUCACUGGCCCACUUCACUCCCGCAGUUGAGACCCUGCACCAGUAUUCAUUUCCACCCUUUGCUGUGCUCAUUACCCAGCAUUUGAUGAGUGUCAUUCAUUCAUUCAUUCAUUCAACAAACACUGAGCCUCUCCGGUGUGGCAGAUACUAUGCCUUGCUGAUGUUAAAGGCGUAUCCUUAGCCUUGAGAAGCUUCCAUCUGCCCAGCACCCAGCUCAAGGGGCCCAAGAGGCCACCUAAGUUUCUGUCUGGGUAAUAGAUCCC
ensembl:lncRNA